UACGUAGGGUGCAAGCGUUAAUCGGAAUUACUGGGCGUAAAGCGUGCGCAGGCGGCUAUGCAAGACAGAUGUGAAAUCCCCGGGCUUAACCUGGGAACUGCAUUUGUGACUGCAUGGCUAGAGUGCGGCAGAGGGGGAUGGAAUUCCGCGUGUAGCAGUGAAAUGCGUAGAUAUCGGGAAGAACACCCGUGGCGAAGGCGGCUCUCUGGGACGGUACUGACGCUGAGACGCGAAAGCGUGGGGAGCGAACAGG
rnacentral:rRNA from 1 species